rnacentral:rRNA from 1 species
AAUGAACGCUGGCGGCAGGCCUAACACAUGCAAGUCGAACGGGUCCUUCGGGACUAGUGGCGGACGGGUGAGUAACGCGUGGGAACGUGCCCCUUGGUACGGAAUAGCCCCGGGAAACUGGGAGUAAUACCGUAUGUGGUCGAGAGACGAAAGAUUUAUCGCCGAAGGAUUAGCCCGCGUUGGAUUAGGUAGUUGGUGGGGUAAUGGCCUACCAAGCCGACGAUCCAUAGCUGGUUUGAGAGGAUGAUCAGCCACACUGGGACUGAGACACGGCCCAGACUCCUACGGGAGGCAGCAGUGGGGAAUCUUAGACAAUGGGGGAAACCCUGAUCUAGCCAUGCCGCGUGAGCGAUGAAGGCCUUAGGGUUGUAAAGCUCUUUCAGUGGGGAAGAUAAUGACUGUACCCACAGAAGAAGCCCCGGCUAACUCCGUG